AUUUUUUGAAUUUAUUGGAUUGCCUUGCGAAAACAUUUGUCAGGGUCUUCGGGCAGUCAAUUAAUAUUACUGAAAAUAAACACAGGAAGCGCUGCGGUAAGGGGCGAACCAAUAAAAACUGCGGAUUAACAAGAAGAGAGAAUAACGGAGACACCGAACUCUGAGAGCGCUGAUUAAAGGCAAACAACACUAGAUUAUAAGACAAAUAAAAUGAAGGGAAAUUGUUACGAACUGCUUAUUUUUCGGUGGCAGUGCUGCUAGCUCAGUCUUAUCUAAAGGCAGAGUACCCCAAAUACCACAGCUUGCAACAUAAGUAUCGACAACUCCGCUGUCUCACAUCUCUAAACUAUCGGUCAUCUCAAAAAACAAAAAUGUAAACAAAGGUAAAUACCUACAAGUAUUGACUUAAAAAUGGGUUAAAUUUUGUGGCUAUUGAUGACUUAGCCAAGCGCUCCCACCCAACCAUGGAUGCUCUUAAGAUGCGGAAGGGCACCACCCAUUCUCGGUCGGUUGCCCCCUUCUCGCGAUUACGACUGUUCCAUCUCCCCCACUGGGUAAACUCACUCACAUUGUGGGUUUUACAAAUGUUUAAUGAAUAUGCCUUUAAGACCGAAACUUGGCCGACGUCUUCAAUAUUUACGCGGUCAAAGCAGAGGAUUUGAAAAAGGCGCCGCGAAAAGUUAUGCACUUAUUUUUAGAGCUCGCAUGGAAACACGGCCCUCAAAAGGAACACACGCUAUGCGCGAGUUAUGGUAUCUUCCGCUGUUUGGUAGUGGUCCAAGGGGGUUCCAGUUAUCCGUCAGUCAGAGGACGCCAUCAGAUCUAUUGUGGGCUUUAGGGGGCAAACCCAAAGCCUCUGCGCUCCCACCCAACCGUAGCAGCCGUAGGUGACUCCGACUGCCCCUUGGACCGGUCACCGUGAGACAUCUUGGAACCGCUUACAUGUUCCCUCCCCUCUGGAAGAUAUGUCUACUCCAUAUUCAUUAUCGUAUCAUUUAUUUACUUAAAUUAUUUACAGGGCUUCAGCUUCCCGUAAGGAAACCCAUCAACCACCGCCCGCCGGGUGCGACAGUCACCAAAGGGAUUUACGUAGACUGGUCUGUUCUCUUUAUUUCGGUCCCUACCUAAAAGAGCUCUCUUAAGGGGAUCCCAGACCCGAUUAUAACCUAUUCGACGCGGUCGCUGGAGAGGAUUCCCCGUGGGAUUAACAAAUACCUGGCUUUGACGGUUUAGAUGUCAAGCCUCGCCCAGAAGGAGCGAUAAGUGCAAAUAACUAAAUAAACAAAUGUAAAAAAAAAACACUCGCCGUGAAUUAUUCACAUCCGGCAAUAAACAGUAUAAAAUUGGUGAUAUAAUAAAUAAAUAAUAGUGCAAUAUGGGUAGUAUCUAUGUGCAAUAUAUAUAUGUUAAUUUUUAAAUGUUAUAUAAGAUCCCCUCCCCCAACGAAUUUUAUGUGAAAAAAAUAUAUAAAUAAUUAAAUAAACAAAUAACUAAAUAAACUAAGGGACAACACAACAUAAA